rnacentral:misc_RNA from 1 species
GAUGAAGAACGCAGCGAAAUGCGAUAAGUAAUGCGAAUUGCAGAAUUCCAGUGAGUCAUCGAAUCUUUGAACGCACAUUGCGCCCUUUGGUAUUCCGAAGGGCAUGCCUGUUCGAGCGUCAUUAUCACCCCUCAAGCCCUCGGCUUGGUGUUGGACGGUUUGGUGGAGGCCCCCUCGGGGGCUCCUGCCCCUCCCAAAGACAAUGACGGCGGCCUCGUUGGACCCCCGGUACACUGAGUUCUUCACGGGACACGUAUCGGACACAGGGGUUUACGGGACACGGUCUGCCUCCCCUCAGGGAGAAUCUUUCUAAGGUUGACCUCGGAUCAGGUAGGGAUACCCGCUGAACUUAAGCAUAUCAAUAAGCGGAGGA